rnacentral:lncRNA from 1 species
CUGAAGUCUACAUGCUUCUUGCAGUGUGAAAGAUGAUGCUGAUUUUUUUGUCCAUUGCUGGAUGGCAAGAUAAGAGAUCAAGAUAUAUACAAAUUAGUCUUUGAAAGAUCUUUCACCUUGUUCAAAGUUAAGAUCCUGUGAACACCAGAAUUGUUCCAUGGCCUCUUCACUAUUGAUUGCAACAGUAUCAUUUACCUGAAGUUACACAGUGACCACAAAAACCAUGUCCAGGACACCAAAUUUCUACUGCGAACUCUAGGCCAGAAGCUGACAACGGCCCAGGAACCAGGACUGCUUUCAGGAGGCGCUCAGAAGGGCAGCAAAGUACCCUCUCAACAUUAGUAAAAUGAAACAAAAGUGUCAGCCUUGGCUUCGCACACACUUACCCGUUCAUGGUGAGGAGGCAAAGCUUUGGGGCGGGAGAGGCAAUUUUCACACAACGGAAGAAAGUUGAGAGUUUGUAAGGGAGAAACUACAGGCGCUUGGAAGCCUGCUGGCUCUCAGGGCUCCCAGGCUGGCGGCAGUGUGAGGAAGGACUGAAGGUAUGUGGGCUAAACACAACAAAAGCCACUGCCUUACUCUAGAUUAAAUAUGCAGGAAGAGGCCCCUUUGCAUAAACACAAACACUCAGCAAAUGAAUAACUGGCUCAAUCAGACGCCCGCUGUGCCUUCUACCUGUCCUCACUCUGACAGGAGACACUGCCUAUUCCAGGGGACACCACUAAACAGGAGUCAG